ACUGUUUGUGUACGAGGGCGAUAAUGUCCUCGGACUUUCUUAGCUUUUGCCGGGCUUUUUCCUUAUGAGUGCAGUGAAUUCCCGGUUCUACCCAUCCAGUCCACGCGUCCAGCAUCCUUUCUUUCUCUCCUUCGACUCAUCUGUUUCACUUCACCUUUCGGCUCUCCGUUUUCUGCUUUCCUCAUCUGGGUUUUCCUGUCUUCCGUCAUUGUGCGCCCUGUUGUCUCUCAGUUUCUUCCUUUUUGUUUCGCGAAAUUAUCUCCGGCGAGACACGAUCUUUGAAUUUUGCAAUCGUUCGUUGCAUCGGUUUUGUUUCAAGCCUCUCUACUGGUACGUAUUAAGGUGAGUGAUUUCUAAAUUUUUGAGCUUUCCUUCGCAGUUUGAUGUCAUUUUUGGUUGUCUUGCUCUUCGAUUUGUUUUCUUGUUUCUGACUAUUAUUAUAAUUGAGAUCGAUUUUCUUGCCAUAUUUUCACUCAAUUUUGGUUGAUCUGUGUAUUCAAGUGAAUGUGAAACAAAUCGUAUUCAGUUUGGGUAUGUUUUGGCUAAGUUUUAUGUUAGUUUUUAUAGAUUGUAACGAACGCUAACGGUUUUUCUUUGUACUCAAGAUAACAUUGGCCUCGAGGUGAAAUCUAUGAAUUUGACAUAUUGCUAUUUAAAUUUAAUGAAAAGAAUAUUACACUUGGUCCUAGCGAUGAGGAAAUGAACAAGACUGCAGUUUUCCUUUAUUAGCUUGCUGUUGAAAGGUUGAGUUCAAUGAAGAAGUAUGUACCAGUCGUGUCCUUCCCUUCCAAGUCACUUUCAGAAACUUCAAUCCUCUUAAUUCCCACGUAUGGCUUGAAUUCUAUGGAUCCCUAUCUGAUCACAAUGCUGAUCUCUUCGGAAAUGUAUGUACGUGCACCUGCUUUCUUUAUGUAUUUUUUAUAUUCAACAUCAAACGCUCUUCUAUUAUUUCUACUAAUCUGCAGGUUUAUUAGGAUAUUUGUGCUGGUUAUUCAGUCAUGGUGUGUCAUGGGACGCUUGGGUGCCUAUAUUGUUAGUCCUGAGUAAUUCUGCCUAAUUGGUGAUCUUAGAUACAUACGGACAGUCAUUCGUGAGUGAUUUUGCCAAGUAUAAACAUUUGAAUCGAGCCAUAAGGUCGAUUCGCAUUCUGGGAUUUGAUAUAGUUGGCGUGUUGGGGCUAAUCGUGGAGAUUCUGUUUACACUAUAAUUGUUGUUGUAAAGAGUCCAUUUAUAUGCUACUUAAAGGCUGGUAUCGACUGAUUCAAGAUUUGAUUACUCGAGAAGGUCCAUUUCUUGAAAUAGCUUGCAUCCCUAUUGUUGGUUUGACAAUCCUUCUGUGGCGAAUUAUGGUUGUUUUAAGUAUCGUAUUGGCAGUUUUCAUGGACAUUUUAAUUGGAUUGUGCAUCAGUUGUAGUAUAUUGAGUUUGCUUACACUAAACUAUAAUCAUUGUAAUCUCCUUGGCCUUUCAUGAUGAGUAAAAUUAUACAUUUUUUAACCAUUUGGAAAUGCAGGAGAGAUCUUUCAGGAAUCAAAGAAGCUAACUGCUAACUUUGAAUUUUCCUGAAAUAUCUUCUUUUUCUAGAUUAAUUAUUUUAGACGUAGGAAUUCUCCAUGUUUUAUCUGGUAGUUGAACAUUUAAAUUUGGGACUUCUUUCAUUUAAUUAGUUGGGAGUUUGAAUUUAUAAAUGUGGAUUUGUGUUUGUUUGCCCAGCUACUAUUUCAAAGCUGGAGGAGGCAUUGUGGAUUAGUCAUAGGAAAUAUGAUGCUCUGUGGGGCUGGGAAAUGCUUAAACUGCUUGUGCAUUAUGUACUCCAGACCAGAAUGAGGCAAAGGUUCCAAAAGGUGUUGCAUUGCUUCCAAAAGGCGUUCAAUGAGAGAAGGAACUCAAUCCAACAAAACAUUUACUACUCUUAAAAGCAUUCUGUGAACUCCAAGCUCAAGUCAAUCCUUAAAUUUCAUCUACUUUUUAUUUCUUUAUGCCUAGGUGAUUUAACUGGUUUGUAACCAUUAAAUCACCCAACUUUAUAAUUACAAUUGUGUUUCUCAUUGUUGAUAUCAAUUCAAACACUAUUAUUCAGGUUAUU